AUAAACUAGCUCCGAUCAUGGUAUAAUACAAAAACUAUUUCAGACAACUUUUUCAUUUGAAUUUAUAAAGUAGAAAAAACAACGGAACAUUAACGAAUAUAAAUGUUUUUGGUAUUUGAGACACUUUCUGUUACUUAAAAUAAUAGUUUAAAUUGCUAAAUUCAUGAUAAUUUUUUUAACACUAGGAAGAUAAGGACAAUGUUGAUCAGUAUGUGAACAAAAACAAGAUCCAUCUACUCCUUUGAGCAUUUUGUACCGUAACUCUUGUUAUUAUAGAAAACGGACAGAUCUGGCAACAACGUAAAUACCACCAUAAUACCGGGCGUAUCGCAAGACCCUUGCGCACAAAAAUUUAUAAAAAUCAUACAAGCCGUUUCCGAGAUAAUUGAGGCGUUCCAUACAUAAAACACUGUAGGUAUUUUCAUUCUAUUCAAGUUGAGUUGAACAUCAGUAUAUUUUUGACUAGAAAAAAUCAAUUGACUGGACCCUAGAAAUACUGGGUGCUUCUAAUUUCAUGCGAUAAAAUUCAAGAAGUGAUUGAUCGUAUCAAAUUACAAACAACAAACUUUUCUCAGUCCACUACUUUCCGUGAUAUCAGUUUUUGAGUUUUUAUUCAUUUUCUAAAAUUUCAGUAAAGCCAGAAACUUGAAAUUAUGUAAUUUUCAUGCACUCGCAAAGAACUAAGUUGAUUAUUUUCAGCAUUUAUCAUAACUCGUAUUAAAUGUUUCAUCUUCACUGUUUUCCACUCGAAUUAUUAAAAAAUUAUAAUUUAUGGUGCUUAUUUUUUUCUCUACAACUUUUGGGUCUGGAAAAAAAUUUAAGAAUGCAAAAUAUUUUCAAAUAAAACAAGGAAGUCAUAAUUUCAUUUAAUGAAAAUUCAUUUUGAAAAAAAGUUUUCAUGUUUAAUAAAGUAAGAGCCGAUAAUUCCUCCUCCAUAUAAUGGAACAGGAUUAUUGAAAAAAUAUCCGUGGUUAGUCUCUUGCAAGUGCACGUUUCUAGCAUUACUGAAAUUUCAGGAAAAAAAACUCAAGUCGUUAUCACCUUUUAAGAACAAUCACUUGAAGUUUGUCGCAUGAAUUUCGAAACAUUCUGUAUAUUAUACCUAGAAGAUAUGUGCAGAAAGUAACAAAGCUUUCCAUAGCCAUUGAAAAUAAUAAAUGGAUACCAAUCAGAGAGAUUGGCUAUCACAUCCAGAAUUAAUCUAUUAUAAUAUUAACAAAUACAUUUCAAAAAACCAAUAUUAAUUCAGAUACAUAUGUAUUUAUUGAUGAAAAUAAUUGCAAUUGAUAUAUAGAUGAAAUGAGUUAUUAGGGCAUUAGUUUGAAAUAUUUAAGGUACGAGCAAAAAUUUUUUAUUUAGUAGUAUGUACUUCCAGAUAUCUUUCAGCAAAAUCGUCUUUUCAGAUGUCAUGAGAAUCAAAGGAUCAACAUACUAAAAUUAAAAGCAAAGCAAAAAAGCUUCUUACCAAUCUACUAUUCAUUAAAUUAUUUAUAAAAUUUGUAUUUGUUAUAUGUCUUGCAACAAUGGAAAGAAGGAUUGUAUUUUUGUUUUUAAUUUUAUAGAAUAAAGGUCUUCACAGUUUUCAAACUGAAAUUUCGUAAAAUCGUUCUGGCUCACUUACGCGAAGUUGAGUUUGAGUGUUUUUGCAAUGUAUUAGUUCAAAAUUUUCACAAUACUCCUCUGUAAGCCGCAUACCUAAGGCAAGAGAAAUAUCCUCUUCUGAGUUUGCACCAAUUAAUAGAGGAACCCUAUUGAUUUCUCCGUUUUUUAGACUUUCGUAUAAGUUUUUAGUCAAAAAGGCACCAUCAUGUUCAACUUCAAUGACUGGACGUGGUUUUGUCUGAAAUGAAUAAAAAACUGAUUUUUUAAUUUGUUUGAUCACUUAAUUUCACUCUAGAUAAUUUCGAUAACAUAACAUCAUAAAUAACUAAAACAGAAGCAGUUGGUGGAAACUAAAAUUUAUCAUUUAAUGACUUCAAGGACCUAAGCAUAAAAUAGAUAAGGAAAAUUUAAGAUUUUUGUAUUUAAACAGACAGCUAAUGAAAGAGUGGAAACUAUACCGAAAAGAUUAUCCCAAAAAAGUUAUGAUAAAUAAAAGAAAAAUAAAAUGAAACCUAAACGUCUAAUUGUGAUUGGUAUUACAUCAAUUGAAACGGUCUAACUCACUGUCAACUCAAUGAUAAAUUUCAAUGGAAACUAGUUGGUAUUAUAAAAUGCUUUCAAACCCGUUUGAACGUAUGGAGUAGAACUAUGGGAAUCAGCUUCUAACUCGAAAUUAUAGAAAGAUUUCGAAUGUUCAAGAUUAUCUUUUUUUUUUUGGUAGUCACUUACUUAAUCACCACUUUUCAAGUGUAAGGGUUGUUGGGGUUAAGAUAUUAUGUUAUUACUUCUUCCACAGGUGUCUCUAUCCUUUCCUAUCUUGUAUUGUCUGUCUUCUUGUCCUUCCUUGUCCUUCUUCGAUUUUGUUUCGAAUUGAUUUUACGUCCAAAUUUUCUCUCAUAAUAUUUUAUUUUAUUUUGAUUUAUCAUCUAUUUUCUCAUUGCUUUUUCAUUUAUUUGUAUAAUUAUGCAUUUGUUGUUCCUCUAUUGGUUUUAAUUCUUUGAUGUGAGUCUGAUCUGUUUUCUAUUACACUCGUCUUUAUUUUGCUGAUGGAUUCUUAGUUAUGGGAUUCCCCUAUAAUCGUUACAAUUUAUUCUUCUCCUUACUUAUGUAUUGGUGUAAAUAUAGCCACAUACCAAUCGUAUUGCGUUUUUUCUGUAUCAUAUUUUAUACAGAAUGAUUUUUAGUAAUAUCUGCUAUUUCCAUUUCUGUCGUUAUUUUAUCUAUUCCUGGUGCUCCCAGUUUCAGUUUUUGUAUCACUCAUUGUAUUCCUUUUAAUUUCGAACUCAUUUCUGCUUUUUUUUUUUUGUUUAUGUUCCUGCUACUGCUACUUGUCUCUGUCUCUGUUUUCUAUCUAGUGAAUAUCCUUUCCUUCUUCUGUUUUUGUUCCUUAACUAAUCUUUCAACUUAUGACUGUUCCUCAUUGUAUCUUUCAUAGUCUGAUUGUGUUUUAGUUGUUAAGUAUAUCCAUUUUUGUUUCUUAUUUUCAUCUUAUUGCAUCUUUUAUAGUUUUCAAUCACCAAUUUGUUCUCUUGAGUUGCGUGCGGACCAUACUUGAUAUUUUGUUUUAUUUUUUAUAUCUCUAUGAGUUUACAACAUCUAAUUCUCUAAUAAUUGCUUUUUUGUGUUCUUCUGUUUGUUAUUUUCAUUCCUUCUGUAUUUCAUUACCAGUAGCUGGACACUCUAAUUUAUGAACCCUUUUACUCACUAGAAAAUAAAUGGGUUUUCUUGUCUACUUCUGACUUCUCUUGUCAUUUCAUGAAUCUUGUAUUGGAAGUUUUUUUUUGAGGUUACAAGUUCAUUAUUUUUGCAUGGUUAUUAUUUUUUGCUCCUUUUUAUCCUUGUUUUCCCAUUCAUUAUUUGUUACCUUUAUUCUCUUUUCAUGCUCUAUAAUUCAGAUCGCCUUUUAUUAUGUCACAGUUACUGUGGUCUGUUUUCUCAUCUUUAGUUGGUUGGUAUGGUGCAACCAUUGAUAGUUCUUCAGUUUCUCUUUCUUAUUUUAUGUCCACUGUGAGAAUUCUUUCGUUUAUGAAAUCUCCGUUCUUUAUAUACCUCAUAUUUUCAUCAUAUUUUUUCUUCUGAUUUAUUCCUUGGUGUCUCUUCAAUGCCUUCUGUGAAAUUUCUUGUUUUUAUUCUCUCAGUAGUUCAUCCUGUUCAUCCAUUUUGUUUUUCUUUCUUCUCGCGUCUUUAUCCUUAUCCAUAGCCUGAUCCGUCAACAAUAUUUUUCCUGCCGUUAUUAGUUUCUGAAGUCAUUUGACUCCUCAACUAAUUUUUUUUUUAUUUAUAUUUUAUUUCCAAUCAUUUUAUCUUAUAUUUUUCUUUAAUCCGAUUUUUACUUGCUAUCCAUUAUCUCUUUCUUUUUUUGCUUGACUUCAGAGCUAUCUAGUUCUUAAUUGAAAGAUGAUGUAGUCAUUUUCUACAGAAAGGAAUAUAAAGUAGUAAUCAGAAUGUGAAUACAAAAUACUAAGGGCAACUUAAUGUCAAUAUCUAGUUCAAAGGAAAACGAGUAGCCAAAACAUAUUAAUUCUCAAUAUAUGUCUGCGUUUUUAGUCAAAAUAAUUUUGUUGUAGUUGAUACUUACUAUUAUCGUAGUUUUUGUCGAAGCAAUAUCUAUUGCUUUGGCAGGGACACUUUGCAGAUAUUUGAGAAGUUCUGAACUUGUUGUAAUGUUAAUAUUUUUGUCUAUGAGAGAAGCCAGUUCAUAACCGUAUGGUGUUGGAUCUGGCAAAUACGCCCAAUUACUGAUACCUGAACCGCUUUCAGAAAUUCCUCCUCUAAAUAGACCUGAAAUAACCAAACUGAGUAUGAUCGGACUAAUUGAAAGAAAAAAUGUGAGAGGAACUGAAUAUCGUAUCAAAUAAAUCUCAUAGAUUUAGAGACUAGAGAGUUGAGAAUAUUUAUUUAAUAUAUUUAAUAUCAACGAAAUUUGAUCACAAAAGCUCAAUCGUUGAUAAUAUGUUAGUUUUGAGAAUUCAAUCAUUCAUUGAACUACCGUCAAGUUAAUGAUUUUGAGGCCAUGGAAAUGAAAUUUUCUUGUGAUUUUAUCGUGGAUGACUAGUUUCUUCUCAAGGAAAUGAGAAUAAGAUAUUCUUAAUUCGAUUGCUGAAGCAUGUGGGUUCCUAGAGCUGAUUAAUUGAAGUUUUAGCUGGUUUUCUUCGCUAGAAUCAUCGUACCCUUCUUUAGGCUCCUUUCGAUGGCCAUUUUAUCCCUUCUUCCUGUUAUUUUUGACUCCCGUCUAGCUCUUUGUCCUUUUAUUAUUUCUUCUUGGGUAUUCAUUUCACGUCUUCUUUCAGACUUUCGUCAUGACUUC